GACGAACGCUGGCGGCGUGCUUAACACAUGCAAGUCGAACGGAGCACCCUUGACUGAGGUUUCGGCCAAAUGAUAGGAAUGCUUAGUGGCGGACUGGUGAGUAACGCGUGAGGAACCUACCUUCCAGAGGGGGACAACAGUUGGAAACGACUGCUAAUACCGCAUGACGCAUGACCGGGGCAUCCCGGGCAUGUCAAAGAUUUUAUCGCUGGAAGAUGGCCUCGCGUCUGAUUAGCUAGAUGGUGGGGUAACGGCCCACCAUGGCGACGAUCAGUAGCCGGACUGAGAGGUUGACCGGCCACAUUGGGACUGAGAUACGGCCCAGACUCCUACGGGAGGCAGCAGUGGGGAAUAUUGGGCAAUGGACGCAAGUCUGACCCAGCAACGCCGCGUGAAGGAAGAAGGCUUUCGGGUUGUAAACUUCUUUUGUCAGGGAAGAGUAGAAGACGGUACCUGACGAAUAAGCCACGGCUAA
rnacentral:rRNA from 1 species